UAACGCGAAGAACCUUACCUGGGCUUGACAUGGCGGUGGUAGGGAACCGAAAGGGGACGACCUUCGGGAGCCGUCACAGGUGCUGCAUGGCUGUCGUCAGCUCGUGUCGUGAGAUGUUCGGUUAAGUCCGGUAACGAGCGCAACCCUCGUCGCCAGUUACACGAUGUCUGGCGAGACUGCCCGUAGAAAGCGGGAGGAAGGUGGGGAUGACGUCAAGUCAGCAUGGCCUUUAUGUCCAGGGCUACACACACGCUACAAUGGCCGGUACAAUGGGGCGCCAACCCGCGAGGGGGAGCCAAUCCGCCAAAGCCGGUCUCAGUUCGGAUUGCAGGCUGCAACCCGCCUGCAUGAAGUCGGAGUGNUAGUAACCGCAGNA
rnacentral:rRNA from 1 species